AUGUCUGUAAACCGGCAGCAUCAUUAUCAGCUGGGAACUGGAAGAAAUGCAGACUCUUGGACCCUCAACCCAAGCUGCCGAAUCAGACUCUAUAUUGUAACAAGGCCCCAGAUACCCAGCGCCUAUCCAACUUGCAGCAAGAAAGGCUACAUUCAAUUGCUUAAUAAAGAAUUCAGACACAUUUUACCAGAGGUUAUUCUGCAAGGCUCUUUUGUGUUUUGUCUUCCCACAUUCUGAAAAGAGUGUAUGUUGAAGGUUGUCGACCAUUCUCCCUGAGCCGGCAGCUUUGUAUGGACUCAGAAGCCUCGCUGUACUCUCUGACGCAGCUGCGGGGAAGCUGAAACAGUGCUCUUCGAUAAAUAGGCUUUGUUUGUCUGUGCUGGCAGCAACUGCUCCAGAAAGUGUACACAGGCAAUAUGCUCCGGUGUAUUCCCCAUAGGCACUUAACGCUCCUGCACACAGCUUCCAAAUCUGUCAUCUUUCCAUUCUCUUCUCGCCAGAUUCCUAUUCUCCCUGGCCAGGAACAUAAAACAAUAAGUUUAUUUUCCAGUUUCUGAGCUGCUAUGCUCAUCCUACCUUUGUGAAUGUUCAUUUUCCAGAGGGGAGGAUACUAUGGGACUAAUUCCCCAUGGCUCAAGAAAUGAUAUGCAUCUCAAUGUCUACAAAUGCAUGUGCUAGUCAAUGGUUCUAAGUGCAAAGAUGAAAGAUCUUCAGUAAAACCUUGAUAUGGUUUGGAUGUUUGUCUCCUUCAAAUUUUAUGUUGAAAUGUGGUUCCCAAUGUUGGAGGUGGGACCUGGUGGGAGGUGAUCAGAUUAUGGGGGUGGAUCCCUCAUGAAUGGUUUAGCACGACCCCCUUGGUGAUAAGUGAGUUUUCAGUUAGUUCAUCUGGGAUCUGGUUGUUUAAAAGUCUAGAACCUCAUUCCCUCACCCUCUUCCUCCCACUUUCACUGUGUGAUGUGUCUACUCCUGCUUCACCUUCCACCAUAAUUGUGAGCUUCCUAAGGCCCACAACAGAAGCAGAUUCUUGCACUACACUUCCACGAGCCAAUGAAACCUCUUUUCUUUAUACAUUAACCGGUCUCUGAUACUUCUUUAUAGUAAUACAAACAGACUAAUACAGACCUACAAUCUAUCAUCAAUAAAUUGUAGCCUCUGAGGUCUUUCUGAGCUCUUGGUCAUCUUAGUUUCUACCCACUGUGACUGUCCUCAGAUUGAUCUGAACAAUCAUUUUAUUGAGAAGCUGAGAUGGCGUGAGAUUAGGUGGCCUGCCUUGGACACAGUUAGUAUCCAAGCUAGGAUAAGAGCACACAUGUCUGGCUCUCUAUUUGACUGACUUGAUUUGAGUUUCUAAGGCUUCACAGAGGAGAAUUUUGAUCUAAGUCUUAGGGCAAAUAUCUAUGUGGUAGAAAAAAUAAAAUCUGAGAAAAAGUAAAACCACGUGUGUGGAGGCAGGCAUGCGCUAAAAGAUGGUGCCCUAAAACUUCAAGGAGUUCAGCAAUUAUCUUCCAAGUAACUUAAUUUUAGUCUUUGUAACAGCAUCGAAAACACUACAUGACCCUCCAACCAAGAUUCUUAUUUCUCCUUAACCAAAACACUCAGAGGAGGCCAGUUUUGGUUUUUCUUCUGCUUUUUUUAAAUAGAGAUAACAUUUCCAUAAUAUAAAACAUACCACUUUAGCCAUUUUAAAGUAUAUAAUUGUAUUAGUUAGAUUUCUCCAAAACGACAGACCCAAUAAGAUAGAUAGGUAGAGAGAGAGAGAGAGAGAGAGAGAGAGAGAGAGAGAGAGAGAGACGAGAGGGGAUUUAUGAGGGGAAUUGCCUCAGGUGAUUACGGAAACAGAGAGGUCCCAUGACAGACAGUCUGCAAGCUGGAAACCCAGGAAUGCUCACUCUGUCCAAGUCUGAAAGUCUCAGGAUCAAGGAAGCUGAUGAUGUAUUAAUAACUCUCAAUCCAAUGCAGAUGGCCUGAGAAUUCAGGGAGCCACUGAUGCAUUCUGGAGUCUGAAGGCCAGAGAACCUGGAGUUCUAACUUCCAGGGGCAAGAGAAGAAAGAUGUUCCAACUACAGGAGAGUGAAUUCAUGUUUCUUCUGCCGUUUUGUUCUGUUCAGGCCCCUACUCAACUGGACAGUGCCUGCCCACAGUGAGGGUGGAUCUUCACUCAGUCCACAGACUCUCACACCAAUCUCCUCUGGAAACACCCUCACAGACACAUGUAGAAGUAAUGCCUCACCAGCUCUCCAGAGCUCUCCAGGUAUCCCUUAAUCCAGUCAAGUUGACUUCUAAAAUUAACCAUCACGAUAAUUCAGUGGCUUUUAGUACAUUCACAGGAUUGUGAAGCCAUCAUGACUACCUCAUUCCAGAACAUUCCAAUCGCCUCCCAAAAGAAACUCUACCUAUUAAUGGGCACUCCCCAUUAUCUCUCCCUCCAAGCCCUGGCAACCAUAUAUCUACUUUCUGUGUCUAUUGAUUUUCCUAUUCUGAAUGUUUUAUAUGAAUGGGAUUAUACAGUAUGUGACAUUUUAUGUCUGGUUUCUCUCACUUAAUGUUUCAAGGUUCAUGCAUGUUGGAGCAUAUAUCAGUACUUCAUUAUCUUAAUAGUUCAUUAUAGGUCAAUAUAGGUACAUAUUACAUAUUGUUUAUUCAUUCUCUUCAUGGACAUGGGUCACUUCUAUUUUGGGGACUAUUCUGAAUAUUGCUGUUAUGAAUAUUAAUAUACAGUAUCCGUUUGAAUCCCUGUUUUAAAUUCUUUUGGAUAUAUACCUGAGAGUGGAAUUGCUGGAUCAUAUGAUAAUUCUAUGUUUAACAUUUUGGGAGACCAACAAACUGCUUUCUACAGCUGUACCAUUUUACAUUCCUAGCAGCAAUGUGCAGAGAUUCUAAUUUUGUCACAAUAUUUCCAACAUGUAUUAUUAUUAAUAUUAUUGCUAUUCUAAUGGAUGUGAACUUGUAUUUCAUUAUGGUUUGAAUUUUCCUAAUGAUUAGUGAUGCUGAAUAUCCUUUCAUGUGUUUAUUGACCAUUUGUACAUCUUCUUUAGAGAGAUGUCUAUUCAAGUUCUUUGUGUAUUUUUUAACUGGGUUGUCUUUUUGUUGUAAGAGUUUUAAAAAUUCCUUAAUAUUCUGCAUAAUAAACCCUU
ensembl:lncRNA